rnacentral:rRNA from 1 species
AGCGAACGCUGGCGGCAGGCCUAACACAUGCAAGUCGAACGGACCCUUCGGGGUUAGUGGCGGACGGGUGAGUAACACGUGGGAACGUGCCUUAAGGUUCGGAAUAGCUCCUGGAAACGGGUGGUAAUGCCGAAUGUGCCCUUCGGGGGAAAGAUUUAUCGCCUUUAGAGCGGCCCGCGUCUGAUUAGCUAGUUGGUGGGGUAAAGGCCUACCAAGGCGACGACGGCUAGGGGACCUGAGAGGGUGACCCCCCACACUGGGACUGAGACACGGCCCAGACUCCUACGGGAGGCAGCAGUGAGGAAUAUUGCUCAAUGGGCGCAAGCCUGAAGCAGCGACGCCGCGUGGAUGAAGAAGGUUUUCGGACUGUAAAAUCCUUUUCUGUGUGACGAGAGUGGACGGUAGCACAGGAAUAAGUCUCGGCUAACUACGUGCCAGCCGCCGCCGUAAGAC